rnacentral:rRNA from 1 species
GGAGCGGGGGAUCUUUCGGGACCUCGCGCUCAAGGGGCGGCCGAUGGCAGAUUAGCUAGUUGGUGGGGUAAAGGCCUACCAAGGCGACGAUCUGUAGCUGGUCUGAGAGGACGACCAGCCACACUGGGACUGAGACACGGCCCAGACUCCUACGGGAGGCAGCAGUGGGGAAUUUUGGACAAUGGGCGCAAGCCUGAUCCAGCAAUGCCGCGUGUGUGAAGAAGGCCUUCGGGUUGUAAAGCACUUUUGUCCGGAAAGAAAUCCUCUGGGUUAAUACCCUGGGGGGAUGACGGUACCGGAAGAAUAAGCACCGGCUAACUACGUGCCAGCAGCCGCGGUAAUACGUAGGGUGCAAGCGUUAAUCGGAAUUACUGGGCGUAAAGCGUGCGCAGGCGGUUCGCUAAGACAGAUGUGAAAUCCCCGGGCUUAACCUGGGAACUGCAUUUGUGACUGGCGGG